AAAAAAUAUUAAUUGUGAGGAAGAAAAUAAUAAUGCCGUUGAAAAUUGAAAGUGGUACGUACACAGUAAACCCUGCGGGAACUAAAAAAGGCCCUUCACGAUUCUUCAUAUGGAAACAUUGGCGGUGCAGAAAACCCUGCGUUUAAUUAA